AUUGAACGCUGGCGGCAGGCCUAACACAUGCAAGUCGAACGAGUGGCGGACGGGUGAGUAAUGUCUGGGAAACUGCCUGAUGGAGGGGGAUAACUACUGGAAACGGUAGCUAAUACCGCAUAACAUCAGAUGUGCCACGAUGGGAUUAGCUAGUUGGUGGGGUAAAGGCUCACAAAGGCGACGAACCCUAGCUGGUCUGAGAGGAUGACCAUCCAAACUGGAACUGAGCAACGGUCCAGAAUCCUACGGGAGGCAGCAGUGGGGAAUAUUGCACAAUGGGCGCAAGCCUUAUGCAGCCAUGCCGCGUGUAUGAAGAAGGCCUUCGGGUUGUAAAGUACUUUCAGCGGGGAGGCGUUACCCGCAGAAGAAGCACCGGCUAACUCCGUGCCAGCAGCCGCGGUAAUUC
rnacentral:rRNA from 1 species